UAUUGCAUCAACCACUCAUUCCAACAUUAAGAUAGAAAUAUUUGUAUAAUGUUGAGGGGAUAUUAGAGUUUACAAAAAAUUAUGGUAAAAUUAGUUUUGAAAAAACUAACUAGAUAGAUAAUAAUGAAAGGAUUCAUCAUUUGCUUUUGGAUAUGGUUGAUUGUUGUCCUGUCACCCCUCAGAUUUGAUUAUGAGGACGCGAGUGCAACUUCGACCGUGGUUACUCUGUCUAAUUGUCACUACGACAUCGGCUUGUAGGUACAUAAACUAUACUUGUUUAAUUAUUUAAUUUAUGCCAUUAAUUGAUUUAUAUAAUGAAGUCUUCUUAUAAACUUGGUGCCAACAUAUGACAAACAAAUUAAAAUAUUAGGCUUCUAUUGCAACGAAUAUGAAGGGGAAAUCAGGUAAGCAACAUCGUGAACGAUGUUUUAACCAGUUACGGCCAUGUAGCAAUUCAAGCAAAUCCAGACAGGAAGUGUCGCAGAGAAGGCAUAGUGAUCGACCUAAGGGAAGAGAUUUCACAGAAUCCAAGAAGCUUGCCAGAGAUAUUGCAGGACCAAAAGAGGAAGAUAAUAGAGAAAGAUGUGGUGACUAGUAGUAAAGAGGCAAGGCUGGAGAAAACUCAACAUAAAAACAAGGAAAACAGGCCCAUUGUGAUGGUUAUUGAAGCGAAAAAGGAAGUGGAACAACAGCAGGGCAAAAAAAUUAAGGUUAACAAAGACAAUAGCUAUUGAAAAGGUCGGGUUCAAGCUAGUGCAGAAAAAAGCACCAGAUGAGGUCAAGUACAGGCUAGUGCAGGAAAAGACCCCAUGAAAGGUCAAGAAAUAGUUGGUGAAGGCAUACGCUCAAGAACAGGUUGGGAACAAGCUAGUGAAGGCGGAAGCUCCGGAAAAGGUGAGAUUCAAGCUAGUGAAGACAGAAGCGUCGGAUGUGGUCAAAAACAAGCUAGUGUGAAACUAAUAAUACAGAUAAAAUAUUUACUAAAAGUAUGAGAAAGAAAAAACAUAAAAAACCAUAAAUGAACAAAUUUAGGAGGGUUUCCUUCCCACAAAAAAUAAAAAACUAAAAAUAAGGGCAUGUUCUCUUACGUUGAAAUUCAA